GACGAACGCUGGCGGCGUGCUUAACACAUGCAAGUCGAACGGAAAGGCCCUGCUUGCAGGGUACUCGAGUGGCGAACGGGUGAGUAACACGUGGGUGAUCUGCCCUGCACUUCGGGAUAAGCCUGGUAAACUGGGUCUAAUACCGGAUAGGAGCCAUUUUUAGUGUGAUGGUUGGAAAGUUUUUUCGGUGUAGGAUGAGCUCGCGGCCUAUCAGCUUGUUGGUGGGGUAAUGGCCUACCAAGGCGGCGACGGGUAGCCGGCCUGAGAGGGUGGACGGCCACAUUGGGACUGAGAUACGGCCCAGACUCCUACGGGAGGCAGCAGUGGGGAAUAUUGCACAAUGGGCGCAAGCCUGAUGCAGCGACGCCGCGUGGGGGAUGACGGCCUUCGGGUCGUAAACUCCUUUCGCUAGGGACGAAGCUUUUUGUGACGGUACCUAGAUAAGAAGCACCGGCUAACUACGUG
rnacentral:rRNA from 1 species